rnacentral:rRNA from 1 species
UACGAAGGGGGGCUAGCGUUGCUCGGAAUCACUGGGCGUAAAGCGCACGUAGGCGGACUCUUAAGUCAGGGGGUGAAAUCCUGGAGCUCAACUCCAGAACUGCCUUUGAUACUGGGAGUCUUGAGUUCGGGAGAGGUGAGUGGAACUGCGAGUGUAGAGGUGAAAUUCGUAGAUAUUCGCAAGAACACCAGUGGCGAAGGCGGCUCACUGGCCCGAUACUGACGCUGAGGUGCGAAAGCGUGGGGAGCAAACAGG